GGCUAGCUAUAUGCUGCGGCUCUGCCCGGUAUAUGGUUUAGUCAUCCGUAAGGGAAGCCAGUUCGGCCUUCACUGGUCGGCUGGGGGAACUUACAAUUUACUGUGAGAAAAUUAGAGUGUUUAAGGCAGGCAAUCGCUUGGAUACUCCAGCACGGAAUAAUGGAAUAGGACUUUAGUCGAUUUGUUGGUUUGAGGCUAAAGUA
rnacentral:rRNA from 1 species